AGUAGUGAGAUCUUAACGACUUCAGAGACAUUAAAUUUCAGGCACAUGGUAUUUAUAGUUUAUUUCAUUUUCCUAUGCUAAAGUAACAAGGCUUUCUUGGAAUUCUGUUCAGUUGUUUUGAUGGCAGUCUCACCUGCAUCUGGACACUUUGUUUUCAGUCAUAUACUGUUACGUUCUUUGUGUGGAGAAUACUCUGUUGAUUAAGAACAACAAGACCUUUUGUUUUAUGGGAGCAGGAAGAAAAGUUCUAAACCGAAACUCUUCAUUGCGUCUCUGCUCCAGACAUUUCUGGGCAAGGCUACUGCAUGAGAAAACCAACACGUGUCUACUGGCAGAAUUGGAUUUCUGUGCUCAUCUUCACUUACUCCCUACCCAUGGAGUCUGAGCAAGGCUCUUACCCUCUACAAAUCUCAGUUUCCACUGAGGGGCCAUUGCCAACAACAUAAGUGACCCAGAAAGUGCUAGUAGCCCCAGUGAACAGGAAAAGUGCAGUUUCGAGUACCAUCUGUGUGCCAAGGAGCAUGUGGAAGUCACUCCAGCCUCACAGUCCAAGAAUGGUGGGGCCACGCCAGCUGCCCG